rnacentral:lncRNA from 1 species
AGGAGCCCCUUGGUUGAUUGGUUGGUUGGUUGGUUGGUUGGUUUCAUUUUUUUCUUUCUUCAGCUUUCCUUUUUCUUUUUCACUUUGUCUUUCUCUUUCAUGGCGGAGAGGAGCACCAUGGAAACGCACCCCACUGCUCUCACUCCAAGGGAGCAUCUGCCACGAGGAGUGCUGUCAACUGACGAACUUUGGCUGCAAAGACUUCAGGAUGAAAUGCAGCGUUGAACUGAACACUGUGUCCGGAAAAUCUGGGGAAAUCUCAUGCACUUUCUAAACACUUGGUGUCUGCUUCCCGGAGGAGUUUUCUUCAUUUGCCAGAUGACCCUUGCUCAGCCAUGUGUAUUUAAGGCCAAGAGCACUAAAAAACAAACUGGAAAUUGCAUCGGCACGAAUCACUCACUCCAGAGGAAGCCAGCCGCCAUGUUAUAAGGACACUCAGGAGCUCUAUAACAUCCACAUGACAAGGAACGUGGGCUUCCUGCCAACCGUCAGCACGAACUCCACAGCCUUGUGAAUGAGCCCCUCUGGAAGCAGAUCUUCCAGCUCAGGCAAGCCUUCUAAAUGUCUACACCCCCACUGGCAUCUUGACGGCAGCCUCAUGAGAGACUCGGAAGCCCUGCUAAGUCACUUCCGGAUCCCUGGCCCCAAAAAAGCAUAUAUUGUAUGAGAUAAUUAAAUGCUUAUUAUUUUAAGCCUCUACGUUUUGGGAAGUCAUCUGUUACACAGCAGUACAUAACUAACCAACACAGGGGUUGAGGGAGGGAGAAAUCAAAGGCUUAUUUUGGGUUUGGGGCUUGAGCAAUUCGGUAGAAGACAAUACCAUUGACUGGAAGUAGGGAAGCCUGGGAGAGGAGAAGGACGAGAAAUCACGAUGUGGAUCUUGGAAUGCCUUUUA